GAUUACUUGGCACUGGCCUCCACCAUCUCCAUUGUGAAAUGGCUCAGAGGUAAUGACAGGUGCAGAGCCUGUUUAGGGUCCCAAUUAGAUAACCCUGAAAGGUUGCCCUAGACAAGGGGCCCACAAAAUUUUCCAUCAAGGGCUAUUUAGUAUUUCCAGCUUUGCAGGCCAUAUGGCUUUUGUUAUCACUCCUUAACGCUGCCACUGAACAUGAAAGUAACUACAGACAAUAUAUGAAGGAAUAUAUGUAGCUGUGCCAAUAAAACUUUAUUUACAAACACAGUUACCAGGCUGGAUCUCACACAAUGGCUGUAGUUUGCCUACCGUGCUCUAAACAAUGGGUAAUUUUCCACUGAAGUACCAGGAAAUCCAAAAGUAAGAUGUUGUUAUGGGCUGAAUUGUGUCUCUCCCAAAUUCAUAUGCUUCAGCCCUAACUUCUACUACCUCAGAAGAUGACUGUAAUGGGAUAUAGGGUGAUUAAAAGUAAAUUAAAAGAGGUAGUAGUAAAAGUAGAUUAAAUGAGGUGAUUAAAGUAAAAUGAGGUCAUCACAGCAGGGCCUAACCCAGUAGCACUGGUGUCCUCAGAAGAAGUAAAGAUCAGGGAACAGUCACGGAGGAAAGACCAGUAAAGACUUGGCCAGGAGCCAAGGAGAGAGGCCCCAGAAGACACCAAAUUUGAGAACACCUUGACCUCAGACUUCUAGCUUCCAGAACUGUGAGUAAAUUUGCUUGUGCUGUUUAAAGCACUCUGGCUGGCAGUUUGUUACAGCAGCCGGCAAAGACCAAUCUAGAUGUCUAGUUUGGAGAAGACAGCUAUGUAAUCCUGGCUCAAAUGAGUAGGGUAGACCAAUUUUCCCCUAAAGUUUUUUUUAUUGAAUGCAGUAUCUUCAAGCUGUACUUCAAAGGUGGAGAUGGGGAACAGGUUUAAUGUCAGAUAGCUUGGAAAUGAUAGCAAAUCAUCAUUCCUUCUUAGAAACCCAUGGUGCCUUCUGUGUGUCAGAAGCUCUUGAGAUGUGCUGCAAACAGAUCUGUUUUGACCUGAAUCCCCUAAACUUUGAGUGCCUUUUAAAGAUGCAAUGCUGAUGAAUAAAACAGUAAGCUAGGAACACACUCUAGAACACUGGCAUGAAGACUGUGAGGCGGAUAUUCUGAGGACGUGAAAGUGCCCGGGGACGGAGCCCUGGGAAGGCUGGCGGAGAGAACACAGAUGGCAUUGGACAGCAGCACUCACCUGAGUUUUGAUCACACCUUGUAAAGACACUCAUGAAGGAGGACUUACAGACCUGCUUUAAAAAGUGAACAGGCUCGAGACAGACUGGGAGGAGAAAGUCGUGGGGCGUCAGGAAGAGCCCAAAGUGCUGCCACCCAGAGCCAAGGAGCGCUGAGGCUGGCUGGUGUUGCCAGAGGGAGGAAGAGGAUUGUCUCUGGAGGUUUCUGAGGGAGAUGGCCCUGCGACACCCUGAUCUCAGCUUCCAGCCUCCUGAACUGUGGGACCACAGACUUCUGUUGUUCAGAGGCACCAGAGCCUCGCUCCUUUCCUGAGACCCAGGGAGCUGGCAAAGGACUAACCUUGUGGGACUACUUGGACGAUGGAAUGGAAGAAGGUGAGUGUAUUGGUGAGGAAUGUUUUCACUGAAAGAAAUAGAAACUCACAAUGACUGUUGAAAUGGGACCUGCGUGUUAGGGUCGGAGGGUAUCUGGUGAAAGGUACUUGGCAGCCCCCUCCCCACUCCCCGGAUGUCUGAGCACCAGCUUUCUCCUCCCUGCCACACAGAGUUUCUUACAGCUUCUCUGCCACAACUGGACUGGAUCUAUCCUUCUACCAACUUUGGGCUUUCUGGGUAUUGUCCCUUUUCAUUUGCUUAUUCAUUUAUUCCACAAAAUAGUUUUAUGUCCACCUGUACCCAGAUCCUGCUAGAUCUUGCAGGUCCCCAGUGCUCCUCCCUCCCAUCUGAGGGCUUGUUCCUCCUUCCCGGACUCUCCCUGAACCCAAGGAGACUUUAACCCGCUGCUGGGAGCAUAUUCUGGCACUCAAUUUGUAUUGGUUGAUCAAAUGAAUACACAGAAAAAGACUUUUUAAAAAAAUUGCCACCCUUCCAGCCCCAGCCCCUUUCCCUGGCAGUCUGGUGCAAUGCAUGCCCCUUGAACUCAGCACUAAGUUACGUGCUGGUGCCUGGAGAUUGUGCAGAGGGGACCCAGCCAUUACCAGCACCUCCGAGCACUGAUUUUCCAGGAUCCCAGGGGUUUAUGCAUGCUAAUAGGACUCUCUUCCCAUUCCUGCAAUAAGAGCACUGUGUCCUGCUACCUCAAAUUGGCUCAAGAGCAACCACACCCCUGGAGGGGCGGGUCUUUUAUUGGCAUCCUGCUGCAUGGGGUGCUAAGGGUGCAGGGUCAGCUGAAGGCCGCACUGGGUUCUGAUCUGAAAUACCCAUUUCACACUGUCCUGUACCUGACUGGCACAGCCCCCUGCCCUGGAUGGGUCACUGCCUCCCAGUGUGCCCACUGUGCCCAGGACCUCCCUGGCACCUUGGCCAGGAGGGCAGCAGCUCCCCUUCUUUCUCCUGUCCACUAUGUGAUAGGAUAGUCAUACGCACAAGAAAUUACCCAUGGCAGUUGUGAGACAAUGAGGUACAAUCCUAGGACUGAAAAGAGCAGUUUUCAGCAUAUUUAAAAGUUGACCCGUGCUAGCAGCCGCCUAGCAGAAGACCCCAGAUUCCUGAUUAGGAUGGGUCUGAAUUGCUGAGAGGGGCACUGAGUACCCAUCAAGGCCCAGCCUCUCACCUGCAUGCCCUGGAAGGAGCCACGGCUUCCACAUACCCCUCUGUACCCCACCCCGACCUUGCUGACUUCAAAAGCUCAUGAAAAUGCAAGUCAGGUGUGGUGGCACAUGGCUAUAAUCCCAGCACUCGGGGAGGCUGAGGCAGGAGAAUCACAAGUUCAGGACCAGCCUGGGCAACUUUGCAACUUAGCGAGAGAGGCCCUGUCUCAAAAUAAAAAAAUUUUAGAAAGGGCUGGGGAUAUAAAUCAAUGAGAAGGCCCUAGGAUCAAUCUCCAGUAACACACACAUACACACACACACACACACACACACACACACACACCACACAGCACAUAUAUUACUAAGUGCAUAUAAAAUGUAUCUAUAUAGGAAGAGGAAGAGGGAGGACUUUAGGGAGCCCAAGAAAUGCAAUCAAUCUUUUAUUGUGCUGCAUAAACAAUUGCUGCAUGUGUUCCAGCCUUCUCAGACUGUGAAGAAUGUUCUAAGAGGCAGGGCUGGGAGGAGUGGGGCAGAGCAGGCGUAGGGGGCUCUUGGAAUGCUCCAAGUGAAGGACUGAACACUAUGUUUUCCUGGGCCUCAGCUCUGCUUGUAGAUUGAUUUUCCUAUUUUUUUUAACAGCAUAUUUUUAUUGAAACAAUUGGUAUAGUAUGGAGUGGAAUGCAAACUUUCUAUGAACUUUUAAGAUAAAACACAAGGUUUUUUUUCACACACGUACCUCUUUUAUUCUGUUUGUACACACAGUGCCUAGAGCUUCCAUUUAUACACUGGUCCAACUGCAUUUGUUUGUAAAACACAAGUUUUUAAGGAAAUGUCUCACUUCGACCAAUUUUCAUCUCGGAAAGUAGAGUCCUUUCUUGCCAGAAUGGGGUUCCCUAGGGUUGGUGGGGGCUUUGUAUAGAGUGUUAUAAUUUAGAUCUGAAUUGCCCGCCCCCCCAUUUCAUCUGUUCAGAGGUGGGUCUUUGCAAGGCAAUUGUAUCACGGGUGUACUGUACUGUGUCAGUGGAUUCAUCCAUUGAUGAGUUCAAGGCUGAGUGUUCUUAGGCGGUGGGGCCUGGUUGGAGGAAGUAGUUCACUGAGGGCAUGCCUUUGGAGGGUCUGUCUCUUGCUCUGGCUCUUUCGUGUCUCUCACUGCUUCCAGGAUCCCAUGAUUUGAGCAAUUUUCCUCCCCCAGGCUCUUGGGCCAUGCUGUUUCUGCCUUGGAGCCAACCGUGCAUGGACUGAACCCAAUAAAAUCGUGAGCCAAAAUAAACCUCUCCUCUUUUAAGUUGUGAGUGUCAAGUAUUUUGUCCCAGGUACAGGUCAAGCUCAAGGUGACUGAGUGGCGGUCCAGACUCCCCACUGAGAGGAUGGGCUGUGUUCCAUAGGGCCUCUGGCCAGGUGGCCUGUGGAUUUCAGCUUUUAGGCUCGGGUGUUGACCCAUGAGCUCUCCUAGGUUGAGUUGGAGGAGAGAUGGAGAAGGAAGGAAGAGGGCACCAAGGGAAGAGGCAACAUCUCCAGAGGAAGAGCCAGGGGCCCUCAGUUCCCUCCACAAGUUUGUGAGCAGUCCCACCCAGAGCCAGCCUGGCAGCUUCAGCACCACAGGACAUGUGAGAGCCCCUGGGAUGGGCCAGCCAAGGCAUCUCUCUCACAGCUGGGAAAAUGAGAGCUCAGAGUUUGGGAGUGGCUGGCAAGAAGUCCCACAUCUAAUUAGUGCCAGAGUUAUAUUUUCAGUAUUCAUGGGAUUAUCAGAAGUAUAUAGUAGAGUUGCAAUUUAUAUUAGCAGGAUGGUUGGGUCAGAAAACAUUCUGCUGGAGUAAAGUAUGAAGGGACAGUUGCAGAAAGGAAGAAAAUUAAUUCAAAGACACAAAUAUCCGGGAGAAAGAGGGCUUACCAAUCAGGGUGGCAUUUGAUUGAUGAACACAUGAGUUUAUUGUUCUCAGGUUAGUUUACAGGGUUCAAGGCUGUGGGCUCUAAGUGUUUUUUUACCAAACAGGAUUUAGAAUUCUUAGCAGAAUCCCUGGAAAUAUUUCUUCACCAUUUUAUUUUUAAAACCCCCUUAUGCCACUUGGAUUUGCACUGCCUGAGUGGCUGAUUUGCCUCCAAACUGGAAACUUUGCCUAGUUAAAGAGCCAUGCAGAACUGAAACCAGCAUGUGGAGCAGGCAGCUCUGAAAAGGAGCCCUUCCCAGUGGGCAGGGCCUCUGCAGUGGUCACCAGAGGGUAGGUACGCUUUGGUGUUUCAAGCUGGGGAGAACCAGCAAUUAGACAUACAUUGUGUUUUGGGGUUUUUUUUUUUUUUUUUGGUUUUUUUGGCAGUUCCGGGGAUCAAAAACUCAGGACCUUAUGCUUGCCAGGCAGGUGCGGCGCCACUGAGCUACAUCCCGGGCCCUAUAUACUGUUUUAUCAAGAACCAGCUUUGCCAUUGCUCUCUGCCACCUCCAUCUCUGUCAAAAAUGGUCCAGUGGCAACAACUAGGUGCUUGGUUUGACUGAACAAUGAGGGAAAUAAAAGUUCCCAUUUUAAAACUGUGUGUUAAUUAUUUCAGGGACAUUCUUCCUGCCAAUCUUUUAUAAAUUAUCCAGGGGAAGUGAUUCUGUAAAGCAACACACAGUGGAAUGCUUCAUCUGACAUAACUUCCUUCGUUUUUCAUCCAGUUGAAACGAUUCCAGGAGCCUCAACUAGCAAUCAAGUUGGGAGAAAAGUACACAGCACGUUCUCCAAACCCAGCCGUUCCUUGAGCUGUGGUGGGGCCCGGCACCCUUGUUUCCUUUCCCAGGAUUCACCGUGAGCGGUGGGCAGAGUCUGGGAACAGCCUAAUGACUGAGGACACUUCAUUCCCAGCGACCGAAGGGAUGAGUGAGAAUGCUGGCCAGUCUCAAGUGUAUGUUUAAAGCACUAGA